rnacentral:rRNA from 1 species
AGAGUGAACGCUGGCGGUAGGCCUAACACAUGCAAGUCGAACGGCAGCACGGUAAGAGCUUGCUCUUAUAGGUGGCGAGUGGCGGACGGGUGAGGAAUACAUCGGAAUCUACCUUUUGGUGGGGGAUAACGUAGGGAAACUUACGCUAAUACCGCAUACGCCCUUCGGGGGAAAGCCGGGGACCAGCAAUGGCCUGGCGCUGAUAGAUGAGCCGAUGUCGGAUUAGCUAGUUGGUGAGGUAAUGGCUCACCAAGGCGACGAUCCGUAGCUGGUCUGAGAGGAUGAUCAGCCACACUGGAACUGAGACACGGUCCAGACUCCUACGGGAGGCAGCAGUGGGGAAUAUUGGACAAUGGGCGCAAGCCUGAUCCAGCCAUACCGCGUGGUGAAGAAGGCCUUCGGUUGUAAAGCCCGUUUUGUUGGAAGAAAAGCAAUUCGGUUAAUACCCGGUGUUCUGACGGUACCAAAGAAUAAGCACCGCUAACUUCGUAGCCAAGCCGCGGUAAU